CAUGUUGUUUUUUCAUGGUGAAACGAGGCGAAUGAGCGAAACAAAUUGUUGCUAAUUUAUACUUAUUCCUGUGACUUCAAAUACCAAAUAUUGAACUUCGUAUCUUAUGUUCAUACCGUCAGUCAUUCCAACAGGUUGACGUAUCGCUCAGUCAAUUUCCAUCCAUUAGAUCCUCAUGCUGUCUAAAGCCUAAAACUCAUGUUUGAAGCACACAUAUAGUGGAAUACCAAUGUGCCGAGAUAAGGAUCUUUUCUGAAUCUCACAAUUUUGGUGGCAUACCCUGCUACAGCAUGUUUGUUAUUAUGACUGUUUCUACUUCUGGUUAGAAGACAACCCAGCUGAGGGAUAGAGUUUCAGAGAGAUGAAGAGUGUGAAGUGAUCUGCCAUGUAUGUACCAGAUCUGCUUGAUGAAAGUCAAUCAUCUGGAUGAUAAAGCAUCAGGAAGUUUAUCUCAUCAUGUGGAGUUAUGCUGUUGGUUGCUGUGAA